GGCGUGUUGAUGCUCCAUGCAGGCAAGCGCAAUGCUCAUAAUCCCGCGCCCGCGGGAUCGCAGGUUCGAAUCCUGCCCGCGCUACCA
rnacentral:tRNA from 1 species